GGAUAUCCAAGGAGAUUGGUUAAUAGAAUAUUUUUUUCUUCUUCGAACAGCAUUGUGACCCAAGUGAAUGGUGCAUCGUCUUCCACUGUCCCAACUUGGUCCAGACUUUUAUACAUACCAGGGCUCUAUCAAGAUCUAGUGAGGGUUAUGCGUCCGUACUGUUCUAAUAUUUCACCCUACUGCUAUAACACUCUGAACCGAAUUUUUACCAGAUUAAAAGACCCUGUCAUUAAAGAGAAGAAGUCAGGUUUGAUCUACAAGAUAAAUUGUGGUGAUUGUGAUAAAGUCUAUGUUGGACAGACUACACAAUAUUUAAAAAGCAGGGUGGAUCAACAUAGGAGGGAUUGUUUGCGAUCAAAAGAGUCGACAGCAUUAUCAGCACACGCUCGAAUGUGUGAACAUAAUUUUGAUUUUGAUAAUGUUGAAAUAUUAGAUUUCGAGAAGAAUUGGUUCAGAAGGAAUUUUAAAGAAAUGCUUUAUAUAAAGAGAACUCCUAACACGGUGAAUUAUAGGACUGAUUUAGGUGGACUGAAUUCUACAUAUUUGAAUUUAAUAAAUAGAAUAAGAACAAGACCGUAGACAUAUUGAUUUUUAGAUUAUGUGUAAUGUAUAUUAGACCGACCUGUCCAUUUUAAUAUGUCAUCUUGAUAAGAUUGUUGAUUGUUGGACUGAUUUGGAUUAUACAAUUUAGUGAUUUCUUUCAAUCGCGCCACAUCGUUUGGUUGUUGAUGCUCUAUCCCGAUUUGUCUUUUAACUCUUCAUGACUUUGUUUUUUCUGACAAUGAAUUUUUUAAAUUAAAUUGUUGAUGAUUUGUUCUGAAGCUUGAUAAAGGCUACAUAUUAGCCGAAACGUUGCUGAUUGAACAAUAAAUUGCAUAUAUGUUCCUA